rnacentral:rRNA from 1 species
GGCGAACGCUGGCGGCGUGCUUAACACAUGCAAGUCGAACGCUGAAGCUUGGUGCUUGCACUGGGUGGAUGAGUGGCGAACGGGUGAGUAAUACGUGAGUAACCUGCCCUUUACUCUGGGAUAAGCAUGGGAAACUGGGUCUAAUACUAGAUACGACAUGUCACCGCAUGGUGCUGUGUGGCAUGGGUUUUGCUGGUUUUGGAUGGGCUCAGGGCCUAUCAGCUUGUUGGCGGGGUAAUGGCCCACCAAGGCGACGACGAGUAGCCGGACUGAGAGGGUGACCGGGUCCACAGGGAUUGGGGCGCGGCCCGGGCGGAAUCGGGGGGAAGGGGUGGAGGACAGAGCACAACGGGCGGAGGGCGGGUGGAGGGACGCCGGGUGGGAAAGGACGGCUUUCGGGUAGGAAAAGCCUUACAGUAAGGAAGAAGCGAAAGGAAGGUAACGUGAAGAAGAGGCGCGGGCAACCUAGGG